CCGCCCUGCACAAACUGUGACCCACCUAACCAAACACUGCCUAGCAGUUGUGUACUAUAAGCCUUCAAUGUACUUUAUGACUCUUCCUGGCUUUGUAGAUCAGACAGGCAACAAAACCAAGAAGCUUAUGAAGUCCUGGUGGGCUGUGUCCAGUUUGAGAGGUCGCAAGUUGUGCAAGGCUGCUCUAAGAACAGAAUUAUAAUAUCAAUCACUUAUGAAUCUCCAGCUCUUUGAGGCUACUCUGGAAAAUGGAAGAAAGAGGAUCCCAGAUAGCCAAUGAACAGCUGUAAGCUACGGACCUUCGCCUUAAUCACCCAAGAACAACAAUCUUAGAUAAUAUCCAUCCAAAUACUUGUCCACAGAGUGGGUACAGCAUAAUGAGAAAAUGCACAACAGCACGAGACAACGUGCAGUGAAAUAAAAAACAUUCUCUCUAAUGACCCUAGAAAAUGGUAGUCAUUAAUCCACAACUAGUGGUAUCUGCGCAUCUCAUGAGACUAUAUGCCACUUGUGCACUAUUAAAAACAGUCCCUUUUGCUAUAAAACAAUACGUUACAAAUUAUUGGGCACCCUCUUAUAUUUUCCACCAGACUAUUUGGAGACAUG